rnacentral:rRNA from 1 species
UACAGAGGUGGCAAGCGUUGUUCGGAAUUACUGGGCGUAAAGGGCGCGUAGGCGGUCUUUUAAGUCUUGUGUGAAAUCCCUCGGCUCAACUGAGGAACUGCACGGGAUACUGGAAGACUUGAGUUCGGGAGAGGGAAGCGGAAUUCCGGGUGUAGCGGUGAAAUGCGUAGAUAUCCGGAGGAACACCGGUGGCGAAGGCGGCUUCCUGGACCGAUUACUGACGCUGAGGCGCGAAAGCUAGGGGAGCAAAGCGGG